UACGGGGGGGAGCAAGCGUUUGUUCGGAUUUACUGGGCGUAAAGGGCGCGUAGGCGGUCGUGACAAGUCACUUGUGAAAUCUCCGGGCUUAACUCGGAACGGUCAAGUGAUACUGUCGGACUAGAGUACAGAAGGGGCAACUGGAAUUCUCGGUGUAGCGGUGAAAUGCGUAGAUAUCGAGAGGAACACCUGCGGCGAAGGCGGGUUGCUGGGCUGAUACUGACGCUGAGGAGCGAAAGCGUGGGGAGCGAACAGG
rnacentral:rRNA from 1 species